UACAGAGGUCUCAACCGUUGUUCGGAUUCAUUGGGCGUAAAGGGUGCGUAGGCGGUCGUGCAAGUCGGAUGUGAAAUCUCGGGGCUCAACCCCGAAACUGCAUUCGAUACUGCGUGGCUCGAGUACUGGAGAGGAGACUGGAAUUUACGGUGUAGCAGUGAAAUGCGUAGAUAUCGGGAGGAACACCGGUGGCGAAGGCGGGUCUCUGGGCAAUUCCUGACGCUGAGGCGCGAAAGCGUGGGGAGCAAACGGG
rnacentral:rRNA from 1 species